GGUUAAGCGACUAAGCGUACACGGUGGAUGCCCUGGCAGUCAGAGGCGAUGAAGGGCGUGCUAAUCUGCGAUAAGCGCCGGUAAGGUGAUAUGAACCGUUAUAACCGGCGAUACCCGAAUGGGGAAACCCAGUGUGACUCGUCACACUAUCAUUAACUGAAUCCAUAGGUUAAUGAGGCGAACCGGGGGAACUGAAACAUCUAAGUACCCCG
rnacentral:rRNA from 1 species